rnacentral:lncRNA from 1 species
AGAAAGCACCAGCAGAUCUAUCAAUCUCAGCCAGGCAGGAUUAUAUGGAACUUCUUGGCCACUGAAUGUCAGACUUGUAUUUGUGAUACAAGAGUAUGGCUGAAUAAGAAGCUGACAGCAUAUACCAAGAUCCAAAUUUCUGUGUUGGGCCUCUUAAGCAUCCACACCUCUACAGUUCCAUUCGGUAGUGCAAAAAUAUCACAGCAUAUUUUAGAAAAUCACAUUUCUAGCCCUUAUGCAAAUAGCCAUGCCUUAAGUUUUAGGUGUUUUUGUGUGUGUCUUUUUUUAAAGGUAACUUUCCCAUCUCUGGUGGAGACAGCCUUGAACCUAGCAAAAUCAUAGAAGCUUGAAGGCACCCCCAGUACCAAUUAGACAAGAAGCAAGAUGGCAUCUCCUGCCUAUUUUUUUCUGUUUAACACCAGCAGUUGUAGGGAGCGUUGAAUCAGAGUUUAAGUGGCGGAUUUGGAUUAAAAUUGCCAGAAUCCCAUCAGUCAACUGACCAAUAUAGCUAGGGGUAUUCUGUGGGUUACAGGCCACUAUCCUGUUAGCUGGUGUUUGCCAGCAUAAUUAAAGGGCCAUAAAUCUCAGUAGCUAUAAAUGAAACAGUUAGGAUUUCUGUCAGAUUGGUGAUGAGACUUGAGCACGCAGCAAAGUUCCUUACCUUUCUCUAUAAACAGGCAGAAUUAAUUAUGCAGAAGGAGGCACACUUAAGAUGUACACUUCUUUAAUUUGAUUAUCUUAGGGCUCAUCCAGACAGAGCAUCUGUACUUUUCCACAUUGCAGUUGGUUCCAUUUAAGCAUAAAUCUUACCUGGAUUUAGUUCUAUGCUACCCCUUUUUCUUCUAUUCCCCUUAGCAGCCUUGUGGUGCAGUGGUUAAACUGCAGUAUUGCAGCCAAACUCUGCUCAUAACCUGGGUUCAAUCCCGUGUAAUUGGCUUGAGGCUUACGAAGCCUUCCAUUUUUCUGAAGUCAGUAAACCGAGUACCCAGCUUGCAAUGUAUUGCCUGUAUAAUUAAAUUGUAAACAGUCAAGACAGUGCUUUAAGCACUACGGGGUGAUAUAUAAGCAGCAUGUUUUGCUUUCUCUCUUAAAGUAAUCAGAUUCUCUGUAAGAAAUGGAUCAAAACCUUUCCUAAAAUCUUGAAGAACAUUGACCAAGCUGUUUACAAGGGGGGGGGGGAGAAACUUCAGAAU